rnacentral:rRNA from 1 species
AGGAUGAACGCUGGCGGCGUGCCUAACACAUGCAAGUCGAACGUCCUGUCUCGCAAGAGGCAGGGAGUGGCGGACGGGUGAGUACCACGUGGGUCAUCUACCGUGAGGUGAGGAAUACCGGCGAGAAAUCGCCGACAAGACCGCAUAGGCUCGAUGCAAGUCGAGCAAAGCUCUUUCGAGAGAGGGAGCGCCACACGAGGAGCCUGCGCCCGAUUAGCUAGCUGGUGGAGUAACGGUUCACCAGGGCGACGAUCGGUAGCUGGUCUGAGAGGACGAUCAGCCACACUGGGAUUGAGAACGGCCCAGACUCCUACGGGGGGCAGCAGUGAGGAAUUUUCGUCAAUGGGGGCAACCCUGAACGAGCAACGCCGCGUGCAGGAAGAAGGUUUUCGGAUCGUAAACUGCUUUUCUCGGGGAAGAGGAACGGACGGUACCCGAGGAAUCGAGCCCCGGCUAACCUACGUGCCAGCAGCCGCGGU